GCUGAUAUAGCUACAGUUGGUAGAGCGCACCCUUGGUAAGGGUGAGGUCCCCAGUUCGAUCCUGGGUAUCAGCA
rnacentral:tRNA from 1 species